AAAAAUAGGACCCGAAUAAGAACCAAACCGUAAAACUUAGAAAAAGAAACUUAACUAAACCGUCGACUCCGAUCCGGUUUGGACCGGUUCUUCGAUUUUUCGGGUCCAAACGGCCACUCCCCUAGAAAUUAAUCCCCUCACCGGUAAAAGUAAAACGGCGCCGUUGCUAGAUGCUAUAAAUAGUUUUCUGUGCGAGUUUUUACUCUCAAACCCAGAAACAAUCGUGCUGAAGAUCCUAUUUUUAGAAGACACUUGAGUCCUCACCGGCACACUUGUUACGAUAAGUAGGUUCUUACUCUCAAUCUCAAUCUUUUCUGUAAUUUGAAAUUUCUAAGUUGGACUGAAUCAGUUACCUUUUACAUUCUUGAAUUCAGUGCACUAGAAGCAGACAGAUACUCUAAUGUUAUUGAUGAACACUGUUUCCUGUUCUUGAUUGUUGAUCUACUCUGUAGGUAUAUAUGAUCAGUGACCCCUUUAGAUUUAGUAAACUGGUUCAUGCAAAAUUUAAGAACAUCAUAAAAAUGCACUCUGUUGGAUUGAACAUGUUUGUUGUUGUUGUUGGUGGUAAUCAGAAAAUCAUGAACCAUUCAUGAAAUUAUUGGUUCUGCAAUGAAGCCUUUGUAAAUUUCUGUCAUUUUUUUAGGGUGUAUCUGAUUCAAAGCGUGAAUAGAUAUUGAAGAUAAGUAAAGGAAGUACUCGAAUUUGGUUGCAUUGGGGUGAAGACUAAACUGAAAUAAGAGAAAUCUGCCCGAUUUCAUAGGUUUUGGAUACUGUUUGGAGGGCGGAGGUCCCAUAAAGGAGUUUGUCGACAACCAUUUUCAUGUCUUUAUGCAUUUGACUGGUCUGUCUUCCAACGCUUUGUCUCAUGUGCAUUGUAGUUUAGCUGCAAUUUAUACUGUGUGGUAUAUAUUGUCGUUAUUGAAUGCAAGUAUGAGAAGACCUGAAAAACGGCGGUUGUCUCUAGCCCAAAUUACUUCUCGAUCACAAUCUCAGAUGAAAGGUAAGUCAGGGCCACAUAUCUCAUGGAACAAAGAAAUGGAUGCUGCAUUGGCUGAAGCGUUGAUUGACCAAAUGAAGCAAGGUAAUAAGGUUGGUGGACAGUGGACAAGACAUGCCAUUCCAGCAGUUGUGCAUGAGUUAAAUAUGACUUUAGAUCUUGAUUUGACAAAAGACAAUGUGAAGAAUAGACUUAAGGCUUGGAAGAGACAUUAUGCCAUUAUUUCUGAUAUCAAGAAUCAAAGUCAGCUUAUGUGGGGUGAAGGUAGGAAGAUGGUUCUUAUCACAUCAGAAAAUCUGGAAGCUUGGAAUGAUUAUGUUGAGUCACAUCCUCUUGCACGUGGUUAUCAAAACAAAUUCAUCGAUAAUUGGGAUGACAUUGCAUUGCUAUGUGGGAAGGAUCUUAAGGUGCAGAGAAUAUUGAAGAUGUUGAAGGAGAAAUGGGAGUUGAAAAGGAAAAUGGAGUCAAUUUCAUCUCUAAUUCCCGUAGUCUUACACAUCCUUCAGCUUCAACUUUGGAAUCACGUCCACUGAUGAAGAAAGCCAAGAAACAUUCGUGGAGGGUUGAAGAAGAAAAUGAAGUCAAUUCCAUUUCUAAUUCACAUAGCCCAACACAUCCUUCAGCAUCAACUUCUAACUUGCAUCUGAAGAAGAAGACAACGAAAGUGAAGAAAGAUCUUUUGGCAGAUGCAAUUGGUGAGAUGACGACUUCACUAAAGGAGUAUUUGGCAAGCAAGAUGGACCUGAAUAGAUCCCAACCCAAAGGUGAAGAAGUAUAUGAAGUGGUUUCAAAGGUACCAGGGCUCAAUAGAUUGCAGGUUUUUAAGGCUAUACGAGUAUUACUGAAUGGUAACCCAGAAGAAUUCUUUCUAUUGAAAUAUCUUCCUGAUGCUGAGAAGACAGAGUGGAUACCAUAUCUUAUUAGUCAUUCUUAAGGUACUUAUCUUGACAAAAUUUUAGUGGUAUUUCCUGUUAACAGAAUAUAUUGGUUAGUCUUCAGGCUUAUGUACUGAAUGACCAAUUAAAAGCUGUUUAGUCUCUUUUCUGCAAUACAUAUACUCUUGUUCUCAUAAUUCUAGCUUAGCUAUUAGCUAUCCAAAUAGAAACAUAAAAUUUUAAUAUGGUUGAAAAGACAUCAUACUUUAGAGAAUAUUUAGGAAACACAAUUGUGUUGUGAUUAAGUUGGUCAAAGCAGAGGCAUGGUUGGCCUUUAGAGGCAACUUCGCAGACCAAAUGCAAUUAUCUGAGAUCUCAUGUUCAGUGUCCGAUAUUGCAUCUGCUACUGCAUUAGCUUCUGUUUAGAUGUGCAUAGAGUAAUGGAGUUGAAGAAACUGGAGAGAUGUUGGAUGUUCAUUAUGUUGUUAACGCUCGCCAUGGAGUUUUUGGAGUGUCCAUUGAUGCAGUCAAUAGAAGCUUAGAGUCCCCUUCAACCUGGAGAUUCUUGUAGAUAUCCCGAGUGCUGCUUUUAGCCCUGCUAUAAGCCAGCUCAUUAAAACAUUGUUGUUGCCACACUGCCUAGCAUAACAAGAGGGAUGCCAUCUUCAUUUCUGAUUGUAGAACCAGACACUGCAGUGGUAUUCUGCUUAACCGAGUGAGCCAUCAAACAUCAGUUAACAAAGUUCAAGGUUGGUUGUCUCCAUUUGAUUACCCUUGCAGUGAUGCCAUCUUCAUUUCUGAUUGUAGAACCAGACACUGCAGUGGUAUUCUGCUUAACCGAGUGAGCCAUCAAACAUCAGUUAACAAAGUUCAAGGUUGGUUGCCUCCAUUUGAUUACCCUUGCAGUGUUUGCAGUAGAUGUGUUUUGCCUCUUGGAGUUAGCAUCCCAGAAUUCUCUGCCAGCAUGAGUUUCAACACGAAUGACCUUCACUGGAUGAGGCUUGAUUUUUUGGUAUGACUGGAUGGCUGGGGAUUAGUUGUCUGAAGAUUAUGUUUUGUGAAUCCCAAAUUGGCCAGCUGAUAGGAUGAUCUCGGCUAAAGCUUUAGUAUUCCACUGUUGGCCGGGCUACAUUGCUGAUAUCUACUUUAACCACUCAGAGAAGGAAGUGACUGGGAUCCAUUGAUAUAUUUCUUUACCUCUGAAGCUAAUGUGCUGGCAGUGAAAAGAUGUUCCUGAGUUGCUUGGGGACAAGUAGGUUCUAUACUUCUAUGGCUCCUAUGAUUCUGAGAAGCCUGUUCCUUAUACAGUUAUACUUCAGUCUGUCCCGGAUGAGUUGCCAAGCAAGAAUUUUAACCUUGCCAGGGAUGUUCAGUUUUCAAAUUUUCUUUAAGAUACUGGACAUCCCAGGUUUGCUAGUUGUUUUCAUUUGCAGAACUUGCUUGCUUUCUUGACGGUACCAGAUCAGACCUACCACGAUAUUACUACUAGAGCUUAUAUUGCGCAAAUGGAAAUAUCCAAUUGAAGAUCCAGAAUUCUUGUAUUUGCUCAUCACCCACCGGUCACCUCAUGCCUUUUAAAGGCUUCCUGAAUCUUUUCUUGGUUUUCAGAA